rnacentral:lncRNA from 1 species
UCCUCCAAGGGUGUGGGCACUUCCUCGGGAGCCCCAGUGGUUGCCAAGAGCGGGCUGCUGCCUCCCUGGCACUCAGGGCACCAGGACGCUUGUUUGCAGAGCUGGCGGCCAGCAGCUUGGAGCAGCUGGUUGUAAUUAUGCACUGCAGCUUCAGAGGAAGUUUCUGGCUGGGAGAGCGUGUGCUGGGCCUGGCUGCACAUUGGCUGCUGGGCUUCAGGGAACAAAGGAGCUAGAAACCAGUGGCAGCAGAGAACACUCCGAGGAGCAGGACCCGCGUGAAGGCAGGCAAAAAGAAAGGCC